rnacentral:misc_RNA from 1 species
GUAGGUGAACCUGCGGAAGGAUCAUUAAAAAUGAAGCCGGGAAACCGGUCCUUCUAACCCUUGAUUAUCUCAAUUUGUUGCUUUGGUGGGCCGCGCAAGCACCGGCUUCGGCUGGAUCGUGCCCGCCAGAGGACCCCAAACUCUUUUGUUAAUGUCGUCUGAGUACUAUAUAAUAGUUAAAACUUUCAACAACGGAUCUCUUGGUUCUG